rnacentral:rRNA from 1 species
AUGUGGCGAAACUCGAAGCAACCAGCAGCCCUGGUAUGUGCAUGCACUCUGAUGAAACUUUGGUCACGUCUACGCGUACCCGUCUACAGACGCACGAAGCCACGAAUUUGGGAGCACCGGCGGCUUCGAUUGAUCGGAUCUCCGAUCUCGGCCGUGCCUCCGGUCCAUCGUACAUGGAUGGUCUCUACAUCGACUUCUUCUGUUUUGAGACUACACCAACAACGAUCUGUAACGCGCCGGCAAACUGCACCGAGCGAUCCCGAUCUGCAUCGACUACACUGCACGUGCACGGACGCGAUCUUCACCAGGCUGACUCCAUCAGCCACCUGCGCGCCGACAUGGCAUUUACAUCAAGCCGAACAACUACACCGACCGAUCUACACUGCAUCAAGGUAA